rnacentral:rRNA from 1 species
GAUGAACGCUGGCGGCGUGCCUAAUACAUGCAAGUCGAGCGAACAGACGAGGAGCUUGCUCCUCUGACGUUAGCGGCGGACGGGUGAGUAACACGUGGAGAACCUACCUAUAAGACUGGGAUAACUUCGGGAAACCGGAGCUAAUACCGGAUAAUAUAUUGAACCGCAUGGUUCAAUAGUGAAAGACGGUUUUGCUGUCACUUAAAGAUGGAUCCGCGCCGCAUUAGCUAGUUGGUAAGGUAACGGCUUACCAAGGCAACGAUGCGUAGCCGACCUGAGAGGGUGAUCGGCCACACUGGAACUGAAACACGGUCCAGACUCCUACGGGAGGCAGCAGUAGGGAAUCUUCCGCAAUGGGCGAAAGCUUGACGGAGCAACGCCGCGUGAGUGAUGAAGGUCUUCGGAUCGUAAAACUCUGUUAUUAGGGAAGAACAAAUGUGUAAGUAACUAUGCACGUCUUGACGGUACCUAAUCAGAAAGCCACGGCUAACUACGUG